rnacentral:rRNA from 1 species
GACGAACGCUGGCGGCGUGCUUAACACAUGCAAGUCGAACGGAAAGGCCAUGCUUUUGUGCGGUUCUCGAGUGGCGAACGGGUGAGUAACACGUGAGUAAACUGCCCUUGUAUUUGGGGUAUCUUCAGGAAAAUGGGGCUCAUACCGGAUAGGAGAUCCUGCUGCAUGGUGGGGGUUGGAAAGUUUCGGCGGUUGGGGAUGGACUCGCGGCUUAUCAGCUUGUUGGUGGGGUAGUGGAUUACCAAGGCUUUGAAGGGUAGGCGGCAUGGGAGGGUGACCGGGCACAAUAGGCCUGAGAGACGGCGCAGUAGGCAACGGUAGGCAGCGGGCGAGAAUAUUGCACAGUGGGCGGGAGCCAGAGACGAAAGCGCCGCGUGCGGAAUGACGGCCUUCUGGGUGAGAACCGCUGUCGCCGUAGACGAGGCGGGAUUGACGGUAACGAGUAAAGAAGCACCGGCUAACUACGUG